rnacentral:tRNA from 1 species
GAGGGUAUGGCUCAGUGGUAGAGCACACGCUUAGCAUGCAUGAGGUCCUGGGUUCAAUCCCCAGUACUUCUG